UCAUGCUGUAUGUUUGAGAAGAUGAUACAGCUGUGCAAAAUUGUCUUCUUCUGAAUUAGCCUAAUUCAGGGGUUUGGGCUUAAAGGCAUAUUUGGAAUUUAUAAAUCUGUUUGGAGAGUGCUGCUUGGAAAAGGGGGAACUUCAAGAAUUGCUGUGAGUGCUUGCCACUAGGCUGUACACCGCCCUGAGUCCUUCGGGAGAAGGGCGGUAUAGAAAUAGAAAUAAUAAAUAAAUAAAUAAAUAAAUAAUUCUGCUGACUGCCAAUUGCCAGCAGUUCAACAAUUCAAAUCUCACUGGCUCAAGGUUGACUCAGCCUUCCAUCCUUCCAAGGUCUCUAGUGGAACAGUGCUGUCAGUAUCGUUGCAGAGGAAAACUCCAAGGAAUUUUGGAAAGAAAAUGGCAGUAACCAACUGGUACCCACCAAGAGGAACUCCAGGUGGUCAGAGAAAAGUGAAUAUUCCAACUUUGAAAAAUUUCCAGAAAGACAUGUUCACUUUACCUCCUAUAAAUGGAUUGGCAAAAUAAGAUAGAGCACCACAACUCAGUGCUCACAGAUGCUCUUA